ACUGAUUGAUGGUGCUUGCACCUGAUUGACGAUGGAUCACCAGUGAGUGGCGGACGGGUGAGUAACACGUAGGUAACCUGCCCCGGAGCGGGGGAUAACAUUUGGAAACAGAUGCUAAUACCGCAUAACAACAAAAGCCACAUGGCUUUUGUUUGAAAGAUGGCUUUGGCUAUCACUCUGGGAUGGACCUGCGGUGCAUUAGCUAGUUGGUAAGGUAACGGCUUACCAAGGCGAUGAUGCAUAGCCGAGUUGAGAGACUGAUCGGCCACAAUGGAACUGAGACACGGUCCAUACUCCUACGGGAGGCAGCAGUAGGGAAUCUUCCACAAUGGGCGCAAGCCUGAUGGAGCAACACCGCGUGAGUGAAGAAGGGUUUCGGCUCGUAAAGCUCU
rnacentral:rRNA from 2 species